AUUUAAAAAAAAAGUUGGUAAUUUUAAAAAAUUUUAAAAAUAUAUUUUUCAAUUAAAAUAAUAAAAUUUUUAUUAUUUUUAAGAUUAAUUAUUUUUCUUAUUUUAUUAUUAUAAUUGUGUUUUGAUUUUAUGACUAAUAAUUAUUAUAAAUACAUUAUAAUGAGAGGAAAAAGUGCUAUUUAAAAAAGACAAAAAAUAGAUAUUAGGAAAGAAAUGAGGAAAAAUUAUAUUAAUAUUGAAAAUGGAAAAUAUAAGGUAAAAAAUUAAAAGAGAGAAGAAAAAAAUUAAAAAUACAUGGAAGAAAAGAGACAGAGACUGAGGCCUGAUAUUUAAUCAUUUAUAUGGUUUAGUUGGUGAAGUGGGAAGUUAGCUUAACUAUUGCUGAGAUUUAAAGAAUAAUGAAGUAUUUUUUUAGUUACUGAAAUUAUUUAUUAAAAAGUUAAAAUAUAUCAAGUGCAAUUAUAGAAGUUUCACUAAAUUUCAAAUAUAUUUUUUUCCUUUAAUUAUAAAUAAAGAUAAUUUGUAAAUGAGAUUUACCUUGCCAAUAUUUGGAGUCAAUUGUAGAAUCGUGAAAUCUUGAGUUUGA
rnacentral:misc_RNA from 1 species